rnacentral:rRNA from 1 species
AGUACCGGGUCCGAGUGAAACGUGAACGUCGCUGGAGUACGUCGCAGGCUGAACUAAAGGAAUGCGGGGAGCACACAACGGGUGAGCUGCGUUUAAUGGACUCAACGCCGGGCAGCUCACCGGAUAGGACAGCGGAAUGAUAGCCGGGCUGAAGACCUUGCUUGACCAGCUGAGAGGAGGUGCAUGGCCGUCGUCAGUUCGUACUGUGAAGCAUCCUGUUUAGUCAGGCAACGAGCGAGACCCACGCCAACAGUUGCUAGCAGGUUCUCCGGAAUGAUGAGGACAAAAAUAAGGACCGCCUCUGCUGGGGGGGGGGGGGGGGGGGCAACGGUAGGUCAGCAUGCCCCGAAUUAUCCGGGCUACACGCGGGCUACAAUGGUCAGGAAAAAGGGAAACGGCACUGAAAAGUGUAGUCAAUCUCCUAAACCUGUCCCAAGUUCGGAUUGUGGGCUGCAACUCGCCCACAUGAAGCUGGAAUCCGUAGU